rnacentral:rRNA from 1 species
UGGGGAAUAUUGCACAAUGGGGGGAACCCUGAUGCAGCCAUGCGCGUGAAUGAAGAAGGCCUUCGGGUUGUAAAGUUCUUUCGGUGACGAGGAAGGUUGAUAGGUUAAUAGCCUAUCAAAUUGACGUUAAUCACAGAAGAAGCACCGGCUAACUCCGUGCCAGCAGCCGCGGUAAUACGGGGGGUGCGAGCGUUAAUCGGAAUAACUGGGCGUAAAGGUCACGCAGGCGGUGACUUAAGUGAGAUGUGAAAGCCCCGAGCUUAACUUGGGAAUUGCAUUUCAUACUGGGUCGCUAGAGUACUUUAGGGAGGGGUAGAAUUCCACGUGUAGCGGUGAAAUGCGUAGAGAUGUGGAGGAAUACCGAAGGCGAGGGCAGCCCCUUGGGAAUGUACUGACGCUCAUGUGCGANAGCGUGGGGGAGCAAACAGGAUUAGAUACCCUGGUAGUCCACGCUGUAAACGAUGUCGAUUUGGGGAUUGGGCUUUGAGCUUGGUGCCCGUAGCUAACGUGAUAAAUCGACCGCCUGGGGAGUACGGCCGCANGUUA